rnacentral:rRNA from 1 species
UACAGAGGGGGCAAGCGUUGUUCGGAAUUACUGGGCGUAAAGGGCGCGUAGGCGGCCGCCUAAGUCAGACGUGAAAUCCCUCGGCUCAACCGGGGAACUGCGUCUGGUACUGGGUGGCUUGAAUCCGGGAGAGGGAUGCGGAAUUCCAGGUGUAGCGGUGAAAUGCGUAGAUAUCGGGAGGAACACCAGUGGCGAAGGCGACUACCUGGCCUGUUCUUGACGCUGAGGCGCGAAAGCUAGGGGAGCAAACGGG